GACGAACGCUGGCGGCGUGCCUAAUACAUGCAAGUAGAACGCUGAAGAGAGGAGCUUGCUCUUCUUGGAUGAGUUGCGAACGGGUGAGUAACGCGUAGGUAACCUGCCUUGUAGCGGGGGAUAACUAUUGGAAACGAUAGCUAAUACCGCAUAACAAUGGAUGACCCAUGUCAUUUAUUUGAAAGGGGCAAAUGCUCCACUACAAGAUGGACCUGCGUUGUAUUAGCUAGUAGGUGAGGUAACGGCUCACCUAGGCGACGAUACAUAGCCGACCUGAGAGGGUGAUCGGCCACACUGGGACUGAGACACGGCCCAGACUCCUACGGGAGGCAGCAGUAGGGAAUCUUCGGCAAUGGGGGCAACCCUGACCGAGCAACGCCGCGUGAGUGAAGAAGGUUUUCGGAUCGUAAAGCUCUGUUGUAAGUCAAGAACGAGUGUGAGAGUGGAAAGUUCA
rnacentral:rRNA from 1 species